AAUUACAAAAUUAGAGUAACUCAGACUAUGAGCCUUUCCUUCGCAUGUCAAAAGCAAAUCAACAAAUACAUGUUCCUGCCUUUAUGUAGGUAAAGGAAGAUAUGAAUGCUGACUGGAAAAGCCAUCUUUUCAAAGACUUGUAGCUCAGCUGAAAUGAAUGAAAAAUUCCAAUGGUCCCCAAAAGUAAAUACUUAAACUGAGCUGGGUGUAUGCAACUGAGCUGGGCAUAUGCAACCCACCCAGUAUCAACAGUACAGUGCAAGUAGAUGUUGAGAUCUUGGGGUACAUUCAACCAGUGAUGAGAAGUGAGUGCACUGGUAAUGCCAUUUUGCAGGCAACAAGGGUCACAGCUGGGAUCCCAGACUUCCAGCGCCAGCCAAACACUGAGGCCUGGGUUUGCUCUUCAGUGCUGUUUUGAGCAUAAAAAACCACCUACCUUCAAACAUCACUGUCUGCAUUCUCAUUUUUCCAGGAAAAUGUUGGCAAUUAUAUUACCCUACCAAUAUCAAUUGUGCAUUUGUGUCUGUUUCUGUACAGCUUGCGCACUGGAAAUGUGUUUUGGCUUUAGUUCAAAUCCACUUCAGUGCCCCCAAAGAGAUCUUCAUUGUUCUAAAGGCUUGCUGAGAUUGUUUCCAGUUUAUACACAACUGUUUCUAAACCCUGGGACCUGUGCUUUUGGUUGUCUAUCAGGAAAGAGUGGCAAAGAUUAAAGAAGUGCAUGCCUUUGGCUGCAUACUUUAAAAUAAAACAGCCGUGGUUUUCAGGAACCUCUUUUAAGGUGCAAUAAAUCCGACUUUCUAAAUGCCCAAGGCUGUGUUUAUCUAGAAGUAUCUUGGGGGAGAUUGCUAUGUCUAUUAAUCUGUUUUCCUGUUUCCUUACCUCAGGGCUUAAAGGCUGCAUAAACCAACCAGCUAGAACACUGUAAGGAAAAGUCUCCACAGACAAGUAUCUCCCUCUGCUUUCUGUUCUUAAGCAGCACUCCUGGUGCAGGGGAGUCAUUAGACAUUCUUAUAAAGCAGGAGCAGUAGAUGAGGGUGAUACAGUAGGGACAAACCAGCAUGACCUCUGUCUUAGAAGAAACCUCAAACCUCUUCAGGACCUUUAAAAGAGUUAACAAAACAGUGGAUAAAGGACAACCAGUGUCUGUGUUUUAUUUAGACCUUCAAAAGGCUUUUGAUAAAGUUCCUGAGAAGAGGCUAUAAAGGAAACUUAGUAACCACAAGGGUGAGUAAGCAGCUGUGUGGGAGCUUGGAUGCUGGACAGGAUCAAUCCACCACUAUAGCUAUUAUCCUGGAUUCCUAAAUGAACUAUCUGCACAUAUGAAGAGUGAACCAAAACAAAUACCAAAAGUCCUGAGAGAAGAGGGAGGAGGAAG